rnacentral:rRNA from 1 species
CCUACGGGUGGCAGCAGUGGGGAAUAUUGCACAAUGGGCGGAACCCUGAUGCAGCGACGCCGCGUGGGUGAGGAAGUACUUCGGUAUGUAAAGCCCUAUCAGCAGGGAAGAAAAUGACGGUACCUGACUAAGAAUCCCCGGCUAACUACGAGCCAGCAGCCGCGGGACUACGACGGGGGCAAGCGUUAUCCGGAUUUACUGGGUGUUAAGGGGGCGUAGACGGGGUGCCAAGUCUGAUGUGAAAGGCCGGGGUGCAACCCCGGGCCUGCAUUGGAAACUGGCAGGCUGGAGUGCCGGAGGGGCAAGCGGAAUGCGGGGUGUAGCGGUGAAAUGCGUAGAUAUUAGGAGGAACACCGGUGGCGAAGGCAGCUUGCUGGACGGUAACUGACGUUGAGGCUCGAAAGCGUGGGGAGCAAACAGGAUUAGAUACCCGAGUAGUC